rnacentral:miRNA from 1 species
CAGCAUGCCCAGGUAAAUAUGAAUUUCAGAUAAACAACACAUUAUGUUUUACUAUAAGGAUAUCUCAUAUAGUGUUUGGGACAUACUUAUACUAAGAAUUGUUUGUUGUUUGUCUGAAAUUCACAUUUACCUGGGUGUCCUAUA